rnacentral:lncRNA from 1 species
CUUCACUAACUUGUGGACAGAAAUCAAGUUGUGUUUAAAAGAAGGAACUAGCAGUACAUUGUAAAGAGUGAUGGAAGGAGUCAAUGCAAAAGAGCCUGUGCAUGUCACUUUCACUUUAUUGCCAUUAGGAAGAGUGACAAGAUAUGACAGAGUUAAAGGUGUGAUGUUAAAAAGUAACUAUUUAUCAUGUGUCAUGUGAUUAGAGGCACC